AUUGAACGCUGGCGGCAGGCUUAACACAUGCAAGUCGAGCGGGCGAGGUUGCUUCGGUAACUGAGCUAGCGGCGGACGGGUGAGUAAUGCUUAGGAAUCUGCCUAUUAGUGGGGGACAACAUUCCGAAAGGAAUGCUAAUACCGCAUACGCCCUACGGGGGAAAGCAGGGGAUCUUCGGACCUUGCGCUAAUAGAGGAGCCUAAGUCAGAUUAGUGAGUUGGUGGGGUAAAGGCCUACCAAGGCGACGAUCUGUAGCGGGUCUGAGAGGAUGAUCCGCCACACUGGGACUGAGACACGGCCCAGACUCCUACGGGAGGCAGCAGUGGGGAAUAUUGGACAAUGGGCGAAAGCCUGAUCCAGCCAUGCCGCGUGUGUGAAGAAGGCCUUUUGGUUGUAAAGCACUUUAAGCGAGGAGGAGGCUACUUGGAUUAAUACUCUAGGAUAGUGGACGUUACUCGCAGAAUAAGCACCGGCUAACUCUGUGCCAGCCGCCGCAGUAACAC
rnacentral:rRNA from 1 species